rnacentral:rRNA from 1 species
UAUCUCUGUAGAGUCUGCAUAUCAAUAAGCGGAGGAAAAGAAACUAACUAGGACUCCCUCAGUAACGGCGAGUGAAGCGGGAAGAGCUCAAAUUUGAAAUCUUCAAGGUUCUACCUUGACGAAUUGUAGUUUAAAGAAGUGUUUUCUGUUGGAGUUUUGGUAAAAGUUCUUUGGAAUAGGACAUCAUAGAGGGUGAGAAUCCCGUAUUUGACCAUUAUUUCCAACUUUGUGAUACACUUUCAAAGAGUCGGAUUGUUUGGGAAUGCAGUCCAAAAUGGGUGGUAAAUUUCAUCUAAAGCUAAAUACUGGCGAGAGACCGAUAGCGAACAAGUACCGUGAGGGAAAGAUGAAAAGAACUUUGAAAAGAGAGUUAAACAGUACGUGAAAUUGUCAAAAGGGAAGCGUUUGACACCAGUGUUGUUUUCUCGAAAAUCAAUUAAAAAUGGCGGGAUUUUGUGUUGUAUUGACUUUAUCAGCUUUCUGCACUUUUUUCCUGUCUUUUUUAAUGCACUUUUCGUUUAACAAGUCAACAUCAAUUUCUUUUGUUGUAAAAGGGUCAUUGGAAGGUGGCUUUCUUUUCGGAGAAAGUGUUUAUAGCCUUUGACUUCUGCAAUCGGAGAGAUUGAGGUCUGCAGCGUAGAUCCUUCGGGGUUAGAUAGCAUUUGUGCUAAGUUAUAGCCUUUCAUAGACAACUUGUUGACUAUGAUCAGUCAUGUAGCUUACUCGCUUAUGCUAUUUUACCUACGCUUAGGAUGUUGAACGCGCACAGAGUCUC